UCCUGUGUUUGUCUCAGAUGGAUUGCCUGGCUCUUCGGAUCUUGGACUACCCCCUGACUACCCACCUGGACCUGCCAGGACGGACGUCUAAGGCUGGUUUCCCCUGCACACCGGAUCACAAACUGUAACCCCUCAGUGCCUUCACAAAAAAAAUUGUGACAAACUCACACCAAUUAAGUCUCCAGAAACCAAGGAGUGUGGAGGCAGCAUCUUUCCUUUCCAAGGGUCUGAAUGUAAUGUUGGAUACACUUAGAAGAUGGGUGGAUGGUACAGGAAUGCUUGGACCACAGAAAUAUCCAACCAGCCCAACCAGAGAUGCCCAGGCCAAAUCCCCAAAAUCUCUGAGUUGACUGAUUCAUCUCCAGUCCCUUAUCAGGCAAUUAUCAUACUUGAAAUUGUGUUUUGAGUGCUUUUGAAAUAAAUAAAAACAAGAGAA